rnacentral:sRNA from 1 species
GAGCACCAGCGAGAGAGCGUUGCCGCAGGCAACGACCCGAAGGGCGAAGCGCGCAGCGCUGAGUAAUCCUUCCCCCACCACCA